rnacentral:lncRNA from 1 species
CAACAAACAAUUUAAAUUUAUUUAUUAUACAUGUAUCUAAUUUUAAAUGCCCCUAGAUAUCUAUAUAUCUAUCCUAAAUAUAUGUCAAUGUAAAAUGUUGUACCUUUACUUUAGAAGUGUAUCUAUAUUUACUGAUUUGUCUCCCUUGCCCUGAACAAGAUUAGGCCCGAGACUACAAUUAAUUCCUCUAUCAGUUCUUUAUAACGUUUUGUCGCAUUUAAAAAAAAUUUGCCUAUUCUUUUUGUCUAAUUUUUGGUGUGUGCAAUGUACAGUUCAAGUCCAAAAAUAUAUGCAAUUUUCAGAAAAAUUGCAUGUUUACAUCAUACAAAUUUGGCCAAUACACAUCCAUACCCCUAUAGGCAAGUCAAGAGAUGUUCCGAAAAGUGUAAAUACUACCUUUUUGCACCUGGCCGAAUCACUCUUUCCUUAUCAAAAUCAGUUAAAAUAAAACAUCCAAAAGUUUAUUUCAGCUCUCUUCUUUCAUUUCCACCCCAGAAAAACUAAGAAAUGUAUGAGAAAGGGAAAGAAAAAAUACACUAUAAUUAAAGGGAACUAUAUUCAUGGACAACGAAAAGUGGGGUCAUUAAUUGUGGUCUUGGGCCAGAUGUGAAGGGGAGAUAAUCUGAUAUCAAGUAAAACCUAGCUAUCAUAAAAAAGAUGAUCAUGUAUGAUAACUGCUUUACAUUCAGUCAUUCAUAUUUUCAUUACAAAUUUCAAAAGAAUUUAUUCCUACUUUUUUAUCAUGGAGAAAAUUUUGUUUGGAUCUCAGUAAGGGUCAAUAAAACAACAAAUAACAAAAUAUUCAUUAAAUUUUACUUUUUAUUAAGUGAACUUACCAGCAGCUUCUGCAUUCACUGUGUUAAAUAUUUCCAAUAAUUGCUCAGGUAUUUGAUGUCAAGUCUCAUAAUUGUAAAGUUUGGAAAAUUUAUUUUUGUGUAUUGACAGAUUUCAGUAAAAUGAAGUAGCAAAAAUAAGAAGAGUUUUCACAUUCAUUGAUAUGUUU